rnacentral:misc_RNA from 1 species
UCCGGUUUGUCACCGGCAGUCCCCCAUGAGUCCCCGACUUAACUCGCUGGCAACACGGGGCAGGGGUUGCGCUCGUUGCGGGACUUAACCCAACAUCUCACGACACGAGCUGACGACAACCAUGCACCACCUGUGCACGGACUCCGAAGAGGGGCCGAUGUUUCCACCGGCUUUCCCGUGCAUGUCAAGCCCAGGUAAGGUUCUUCGCGUUGCUUCGAAUUGAACCACAUGCUCCACCGCUUGUGCGGGCCCCCGUCAAUUCCUUUGAGUUUAAGCCUUGCGGCCGUACUCCCCAGGCGGUCAACUUCACGCGUUAGCUUCGUUACCAAGGAAUUACUUCCCCGACAACCAGUUGACAUCGUUUAGGGCGUGGACUAC